rnacentral:tRNA from 1 species
GAGUGGAUAGCUUAAAAUUAAAGCACAACAUUGAAGCUGUUAUUAUAGAUUAUUUCUUCUACUCC